rnacentral:lncRNA from 1 species
UGACGCACUUCAUACGUGCUUUUCAUAACAUAGAAAGGCUGCUUAAUUCCAUUACAAUAGCAAAUGCAAACAGGUAGUCCACUGUUUGCUUAUUGACACCAAAACACAGGAGCUAAGAGUGCAGCUUAUUCAAUUCAUCCGACUAGUUUUUCUUCGCGAACUGAGCCUGAAGCCAGUCGAUGGUCUUCUUGUCCACUUGGAAAGCCUUGGCGAGGAUUUCAUCCGAGAUGGGGGGAUUCGACCCGAACACAGCAUCGGCGAUGGUGAUGGUGCCAGGGUUUUGGCUGCUGAGAGCACCGAUGGCGAAGGUGUUGGUGUGCCCAGGGUUGAACUGGAAGUGGAUGAGGCCUUGGGGGAACACAAACACAUCACCCUUCUUCAGCAUCUUGGUGAAGAGACGGUUGCCGUCGUCGCUGUUGGAUGUGACGAAGCCGACCAAGAGCUGUCCCUCUAUGACGGUGAGGAUCUCGGUGGCACGGGGGUGAGUGUGGGGCGGGUUGAGGCCAUUGGGGAUGUAGUCGAUGCGAACCAUGGAGAUGCCGAGGGUGUUGAGCCCUGGAAUCUGGAUCACGUUGGCAGGCGUGACAUUGAACCCGAAAUUGUUCUUUCCUGUAUCGCCGGGCAUGUCGAGGCCAGAAAGAGAGAAGUCGUCGGCUUUCACAACCAUGGGGUCCUUGCAGACGAAUCCAUUCACCCGCACUGCAACAGCAGAAGGAAGAAGCAAACUCGGUCGGUAAACAUGCAUCAGGAGAACAAACGCACCGAAGGAAAUUAAUCUGGAUACUAUGAAUACCUUUAGACAUCAUAUCUGCGACACAGAAGUCUUGAAGUUGGCUAGGAUCGGAAGCCAUUGCAAGAGAGGAAGCCAUGGCGAGGAGAACAAGGAGAAACAUUUCGGCGGCCAUCUGUAAUCUCUUAGAUGGAUGGGAUUACCUGGUGCCGUGAUACAGUGGCCUGGAAGAGACGGGUAUAUAUAGAGAAGCAGGCUCUGAAACAUUCAUGAUCAUUAGGUGAAGGAGAUGAAAAGUAUACCAUGUUAGGUUGCUUUCUUCUUGCAAUAUAUUUUCUAUAGCCGUCACCUCGUACGAGAUCCAUAUGAUGCACAGUAACCAUUAAAUUUGUUGACGUGUCUCAGUAACCUAAUCCAUGACCAUUUUAUAUGUAUAUAUAUAAUGAUGGAGCUUUUAGUUAGAUCAUGCUGUAGUGUAAAAUGGACUCUUACGUUCGACUGCAUAAUCCACCACGUGAGAUUUUUGUGACGACCUUACGCUACCAAACAAGAGGAGAAGUCAGCAAAGAUGUGGCAGCUGAACAGAACAAGCUAAGGACAGGUAGAAAGAACAAGAAGCCAAAGAUGUGAUUACCAAUUUGACCUUGUCGGGUCUUGUGUACUGCUACGGCUGAUACCGUGUAUUAUAAUUAAGGUGUUCUACGUCAUCUCCGACUAUUUUCAUCACACUGAGACGUCGCGUGCAUGUUGCAAAGAAGUAUGUAAAUACGUAAGUUCUUAAGAGAUUAUAAGUUGAUAUAAUGCUGUCCAAGAAUAGUAAGCAUGUUGAUAGUUGCCUCUACGUUAAACGCUUAUGGGAUCCUAAGUUAUUAAGAGAUCAUAAGAGAUUUUAAAAAUACUAAAUCUUCGUAUAUAGGUAUACAAGAAUAUUGUACGAUUUAGAUAAAAUCAAUUAUAUUCGUGAUAAAAAUCAAUGAGGUUAGGUGAGAUAAAAUAUUUUUUUUAAUUAAAUAUCUAAAGUAAAAUUAACAUAUCAACAUUACAUUGUUCACAUAAAAUUUAUAAUCAUAUUAUCUAUAAUACGAAAAAAAAAUUAUGUCAAAAUUUAAAAUCAAAUAAUAAUGGAUCUAAAUAAUAUUACGAUGCAUACCUUUCGUUGUUAUUUAGAAGAAUAAAUAUUAUCUGAUCUACAGGCGUAUCAUCGUCGGAUCUAAAUGAAAUACUUCUAUUUAGCCCUUAAGAUCAUAUCUAUUUAUAAACAAAAACAAAGAGUCUAAGAUAAGAUAUUAGAAGAAUUCCUCCCAUAAGGAUAUCCUUGGAAUCCUACUAUAAUAUGAAUUUUUUUUUUAUUAAUCAAUAAUCAUAAUCAGAAUUCAAUCAUAUCUAUAAUAUAUUUUACCUAAUUAAAUAUGACCACACAAUCUAACACUCAAUCAUAAAUCCACGAAUCAUAAAUCCAUAAAAAACCAGAAUUUUUGAACUCAUUUCAACCGAGUUCCCAAAAAGUUUAUUAAGUAAAUAAGAUAUUAUUAUGAAUACAAAACAUUUUAAAGUUUUAUAGAUGAUAAUUCUUUUCUAGAAGGUUCUGCCAGCGAGGAUGAAUAAAAAAAAAAGAAAAAUAUCGAUAUAAUAUUUGUAAUUUAUAUAAAUAUAAACAUUUUUCGUCCAUCCAACUCAGCGACCUCUCUGGCAAUCAGAAAGAUUUCAAUAACGAUCAAACAAAGGCUAAUCGAUUAUUUCAGUCAUCAGAUUUUGGUGGCAACGACAUGUUACCAAACACCAUAAAGAAGCUCUCAAAGUCCGACCACGAGACAAGACAAAGUUGCCAGUACGAAUCCGUCUCCGUUCUUCGACCUCGUUCCAUACUGUAUAUUACGAUCGAAGUGAACUGUGUCAUCUUCAACUAUUUCACCAUCACACUGUUUAUAUAUUAUUAUGGUCUAUUUGUGAUCACAACAUAAGAGUUCAAAUUCAUAAUUAUAUUUCAUUUUAGUAAAUGAAUAAAUUGGAGUGAUUGAUACCGCCGGUUAUAGGUGGAUGCAAUCGAGCCAUAUACUACUACUGAACUUUGUAGAUCCCAUGUCAUACAAGUCAAGACAAAAGCACUCCUUUCGGGAAUUCUUGGUGAUGACUUGUUGAAGUUAUGAUCGUGUAUACAAUAUCUCAUGUUUCAGUCAUAAUAUUUGCAUAAAUUGACUUAUUACCGGUAUAUUUUAGUAAAGUUGUCUGCAUAGAUAUAUAAAGUUCAUGAACCUGAGGGAGGAUAAACAUAAGGUGGAUAAAGAAGUAUGCAUAUAUAUAUAUAAUAUGAGAUAUUACACUUUUUGAGGAUGCUGCACUCCAUAUAAUCUAUAAUCUUCCAGGUGGGAAAUACUAUCAUAUGAUCUAAAUAUUGAAAUAUGACUCAUGGAUUUCUUUCUUAAAAAUCAAGUUUUAUUUAUUAUAUUUAAUGACGUGUUUAUAUGAAAUUUGCAACAGUACACCAAUCGUAUGUCAAUAGAGAUGACUCGAGAAUUCUGAAACAUGACACACUUCAUACGUACUUUUCAUAACAUAGAAAGGUCUCUUAAUUCCAUUACAAUAGCAAACGCAAACAGGUAGUCCACUGUUUGCUUAUUCACACCAAAACACACGAGCUAAGAGUGCAGCUUAAUUCAUUCCUCCGACUAGUUUUUCUUCGCGAACUGAGCCUGAAGCCAGUCGACAAGCUUCUUGUCCACUUGGAAAGCCUUGGCGAGGAUUUCAUCCGAGAUGGGGGGAUUCGCCCCGAACACAGCAUCGGCGAUUGUGAUGGUGCCGGGGUUUUGGCUACUGAGAGCACCGAUGGCGAAGGUGUUGGUGUACCCAGGGUUGAACUGGAAGUGGAUGAGGCCUUGAGGGAACACAAACACAUCACCCUUCUUCAGCAUCUUGGUGAAGAGGCGGUUGUCGGUGUUGGAUGUGACGAAGCCGACUAAGAGCUGUCCCUCUAUGACGGUGAGGAUCUCGGUGGCACGGGGGUGAGUGUGGGGCGGGUUGAGGCCUUUGGGGAUGUAGUCGAUGCGAAC